rnacentral:tRNA from 1 species
AUUUAAAUAGCUUAUAUAUAGAGUUUAAUAUUGAAGAUAUUAAGGAGAUUAAUUAAUCUUUAAAUA